rnacentral:rRNA from 1 species
UACGAAGGGGGCUAGCGUUGCUCGGAAUUACUGGGCGUAAAGCGCACGUAGGCGGCUUUCUAAGUCGGGGGUGAAAUCCUGGAGCUCAACUCCAGAACUGCCUUCGAUACUGGAGAGCUCGAGUCCGGGAGAGGUGAGUGGAACUGCGAGUGUAGAGGUGAAAUUCGUAGAUAUUCGGAAGAACACCAGUGGCGAAGGCGACUUACUGGACGAUUGUUGACGCUGAGGUGCGAAAGCGUGGGGAGCAAACAGG